rnacentral:rRNA from 1 species
CACGUAGGGGGCAAGCGUUGUCCGGAUUUAUUGGGCGUAAAGAGCUCGUAGGCGGUUCGGUAAGUUGGGUGUGAAACCUCCAGGCUCAACCUGGAGACGCCACCCGAUACUGCUGUGACUAGAGUCCGGAAGAGGAGAGUGGAAUUCCUGGUGUAGCGGUGAAAUGCGCAGAUAUCAGGAAGAACACCCGUGGCGAAGGCGGCUCUCUGGGACGGUACUGACGCUGAGGAGCGAAAGCGUGGGGAGCGAACAGG